rnacentral:rRNA from 1 species
UUAUACGGUGAAGCUGCGAAUGGCUCAUUAAAUCAGUCAUAGUUUAUUUGAUGGUACCCUACUACAUGGAUAACUGUGGUAAUUCUAGAGCUAAUACAUGCUAAAAACCCCGACUUCAGGAAGGGGUGUAUUUAUUAGAUAAAAAACCAACGCCCUUCGGGGCUCCUUGGUGAAUCAUAAUAACUUAACGAAUCGCAUGGCCUUGCGCCGGCGAUGCUUCAUUCAAAUAUCUGCCCUAUCAACUUUCGAUGGUAGGAUAGAGGCCUAC